UACAGAGGUCUCAAGCGUUGUUCGGAUUCAUUGGGCGUAAAGGGUGUGUAGGUGGCGCGCUAAGUCGGGUGUGAAAUUUCGGAGCUUAACUCCGAAACUGCAUUCGAUACUGGCGUGCUUGAGGACUGGAGAGGAGACUGGAAUUUCAUGGUGUAGCAGUGAAAUGCGUAGAGUAUCAUGAGGAAGACCAGUGGCGAAGGCGGGUCUCUGGACAGUUCCUGACACUGAGACACGAAGGCCAGGGGAGCAAACGGG
rnacentral:rRNA from 1 species